AUUGAACGCUGGCGGCAGGCCUAACACAUGCAAGUCGAGCGGAUGAAGGGAGCUUGCUCCUGGAUUCAGCGGCGGACGGGUGAGUAAUGCCUAGGAAUCUGCCUGGUAGUGGGGGAUAACGUCCGGAAACGGGCGCUAAUACCGCAUACGUCCUGAGGGAGAAAGUGGGGGAUCUUCGGACCUCACGCUAUCAGAUGAGCCUAGGUCGGAUUAGCUAGUUGGUGGGGUAAAGGCCUAACAAGGCGACGAUCCGUAACUGGUCUGAGAGGAUGAUCAGUCACACUGGAACUGAGACACGGUCCAGACUCCUACGGGAGGCAGCAGUGGGGAAUAUUGGACAAUGGGCGAAAGCCUGAUCCAGCCAUGCCGCGUGUGUGAAGAAGGUCUUCGGAUUGUAAAGCACUUUAAGUUGGGAGGAAGGGCAGUAAGUUAAUACCUUGCUGUCUUGACGUUACCAACAGAAUAAGCACCGGCUAACUUCGUG
rnacentral:rRNA from 1 species